CAAAUUUAAUUCGGUUACAUGUGACAAAUUUAAAACAAAAAAAUGAAUCUGUUCUCUUUUUUUCAGUGAGGACUGCGUUCCUAACAGCUCUGACCGACAUCUCCAUCCCCUGCUAAAUUAAAGAGUCCCCACAGCAUGAUGCUGUCACCGCCAUGCUCCGCUUGUAUCCGAAGCGAUGCAGAGAAAGUCAUAAAGUUUUAUUAGGAGCUGCUGCAUGAGCAGCUCUUCUCUCCUCUGCUCCACCAAUUUUUUUUCUGCAGAUAUGAAAAUGUCUCAGCCGUGGCAGCGUGUUGUUUAGAUAACGGCCUCAGUGGGCAGCAGCUGCAGCAGCGCAGAGAGAUUACAUGCAGAUGACUUGCGGCGCUGCCAUUGGCUGCUGCCGGCAGUCGCUCCCAGUUUCACACGCACUCCCGCUUUUGUGUAGCAAAGCGCCUGCGGGACAAAAGGCGAGGGGAGGAUAAAGCGCAAGAAGUGAGAGGAGAUUUACAGGAGGAGCAACGCCUUCCUUGGCUCAUCUGAUUGUAAGCUGGUAACCUGGAACGCAGUGCUGAGCUGUUACAUAAGAGAGACAGGCGACACCCUCAGAGACCGUGUGUGUGUGAAAGUGUGUAAGAAGCCCACUUUCCCCUUCUCAUUGUCAGCCUUGUUUGAGGCACAGAUAACUGGGUUAGUCACACUGACAUAUUUUCAGUCAAAAGAGACUGGCUGCAGCUGUGGUUCAUUUCUCCAUGUGUGUGUGUGUGUGUGUGUGUGUGUGUGUGUGUGUGUGUGUGUGUGUUUGCUUUUCAUGUGAAAGACUCACACUCUGGCUUGAGGGAAAUGCAACCAGUUUUUAUCCCGUGACCCCCAUCCUGGCUGUAAUUUAUGAACUCUCAGCUCAUUUCCCAAUAUUUCACCAUGUGAGAGACAGUGAACCGUUUGAAAAAAAAAAAAAAA